CAGUAGCCGCGGUAAUACGAAGGGGGCUAGCGUUGCUCGGAAUUACUGGGCGUAAAGGGCGCGUAGGCGGAUAGUUAAGUCAGAGGUGAAAGCCCAGGGCUCAACCUUGGAACUGCCUUUGAUACUGGCUAUCUUGAGUUCGGGAGAGGUGUGUGGAACUCCGAGUGUAGAGGUGAAAUUCGUAGAUAUCCGGAAGAACACCAGUGGCGAAGGCGACACACUGGCCCGAUACUGACGCUGAGGCGCGAAAGCGUGGGGAGCAAACAGGAUUAGAUACCCCCGUAGUCCCUGUCUCUUAUAC
rnacentral:rRNA from 1 species